rnacentral:rRNA from 1 species
GACGAACGCUGGCGGCGCGCCUAACACAUGCAAGUCGAACGAGCGAGAGGAGGUUUACUUUCUCAAGCGAGUGGCGAACGGGUGAGUAACGCGUGAGGAACCUGCCUCAAAGAGGGGGACAACAGUGGGAAACGACUGCUAAUACCGCAUAAGCCCACGACCCGGCAUCGGGUAGAGGGAAAAUGAGCAAUCCGCUAUGAGAUGGCCUCGCGUCCGAUUAGCUAGUUGGUGAGGUAAUGGCCCACCAAGGCGACGAUCGGUAGCCGGACUGAGAGGUUGAACGGCCACAUUGGGACUGAGACACGGCCCAGACUCCUACGGGAGGCAGCGGUGGGGAAUAUUGCACAAUGGGGGAAACCCUGAUGCAGCGACGCCGCGUGGAGGAAGAAGGUCUUCGGAUUGUAAACUCCUGUUGUUGAGGAAGAUAAUGACGGUACUCAACAAGGAAGUGACGGCUAACUACGUG